AAAUUGAAGAGUUUGAUCAUGGCUCAGAUUGAACGCUGGCGGCAGGCCUAACACAUGCAAGUCGAACGGUAACAGGAAGAAGCUUGCUUCUUCGCUGACGAGUGGCGGACGGGUGAGUAAUGUCUGGGAAACUGCCUGAUGGAGGGGGAUAACUACUGGAAACGGUAGCUAAUACCGCAUAA
rnacentral:rRNA from 1 species